rnacentral:tRNA from 1 species
GGAGAGGUGUCCGAGUGGCCUAAGGAGCAGCACUGGAAAUGCUGUGUGCGGAAUUUCCGUACCGAGGGUUCGAAUCCCUCCCUCUCCGCAA